GGUAGUUGGUAGGGUAGAGGCCUACCAAGCCUGCGAUCGGUAGCCGGCCUGAGAGGGUGGACGGCCACAUUGGGACUGAGACACGGCCCAAACUCCUACGGGAGGCAGCAGUGGGGGAUAUUGCACAAUGGGCGAAAGCCUGAUGCAGCGACGCCGCGUGGGUGAAGAAGUACCUCGGUACGUAAAGCCCUAUCAGCAGGGAAGAAAAUGACGGUACCUGACUAAGAAGCUCCGGCUAAAUACGUGCCAGCAGCCGCGGUAAUACGUAUGGAGCAAGCGUUAUCCGGAUUUACUGGGUGUAAAGGGAGCGUAGGCGGCAUACCAAGCCUGAUGUGAAAACCCGGGGCCCAACCCCGGGAGUGCAUUGGGAACUGGCAAGCUAGAGUGUCGGAGAGGCAGGCGGAAUUCCUAGUGUAGCGGUGAAAUGCGUAGAUAUUAGGAGGAACACCAGUGGCGAAGGCGGCCUGCUGGACGAUGACUGACGCUGAGGCUCGAAAGCGUGGGGAGCAAACAGGAUUAGAUACCCUGGUAGUCCACGCCGUAAACGAUG
rnacentral:rRNA from 1 species